rnacentral:rRNA from 1 species
AUUGAACGCUGGCGGCAGGCCUAACACAUGCAAGUCGAGCGGAUGAAGAGAGCUUGCUCCUGGAUUCAGCGGCGGACGGGUGAGUAAUGCCUAGGAAUCUGCCUGGUAGUGGGGGACAACGUUUCGGAAGGAACGCUAAUACCGCAUACGUCCUACGGGAGAAAGCAGGGGACCUUCGGGCCUUGCGCUAUCAGAUGAGCCUAGGUCGGAUUAGCUAGUUGGUGAGGUAAUGGCUCACCAAGGCGACGAUCCGUAACUGGUCUGAGAGGAUGAUCAGUCACACUGGAACUGAGACACGGUCCAGACUCCUACGGGAGGCAGCAGUGGGGAAUAUUGGACAAUGGGCGAAAGCCUGAUCCAGCCAUGCCGCGUGUGUGAAGAAGGUCUUCGGAUUGUAAAGCACUUUAAGUUGGGAGGAAGGGUUGUAGAUUAAUACUCUGCAAUUUUGACGUUACCGACAGAAUAAGCACCGGCUAACUCUGUGCCAGCCGCCGCAGUAA